rnacentral:rRNA from 1 species
AGGACGAACGCUUGCGGCGUGCCUAAGAAAUGCAAGUCGAACGGAUCAGAGCAAUCUGGUUAGUGGCGAACGGUCGCGUAACACGUAAGGAACCUGCCUUAGAGUGGGGGAUAACAGCCCGAAAGGGUUGCUAAUACCGCAUACGAACUAUAGUCGGCAUCGACAUUAGUUUAAAGCCUUGUGCGCUUUAAGAUGGUUUUGCGGCCUAUCAGCUUGUUGGUGGGGUAAUGGCCUACCAAGGCUUUGACGGGUAGCUGGUCUGAGAGGACGAUCAGCCGGAUUGGGACUGAGAUACGGCCCAGACUCCUACGGGGGGCAGCAAUUAGGAAUCUUGCACAAUGGGGGAAACCCUGAUGCAGCGACGCCGCGUGGAGGAUGACGGCCCUCGGGUUGUAAACUCCUUUUGACAGGGAAGAAGAAUGUGACGGUACCUGUCGAAUAAGCCCCGGCUAACUACGUGCCAGCAGCCGC